GAUGAACGCUGACAGAAUGCUUAACACAUGCAAGUCAACUUGAAUUUGGGUUUUUAACUUAGGUUUGGGUGGCGUACGGGUGAGUAACGCGUAAAGAACUUGCCUCCCAUCUAGGGACAACAUUUGGAAACGAAUGCUAAUACCUAAUAUUAUGAUAAUAGGGCAUCCUAUAAUUAUGAAAGCUAUAAGCGCUGUGAGAGAGCUUUGCGUCCCAUUAGCUAGUUGGAGAGGUAACGGCUCACCAAGGCGAUGAUGGGUAGCCGGCCUGAGAGGGUGAUCGGCCACAAGGGGGCUGAGACAAGGCCAUUAAGCGUACGGGAGGCAGCAGUGGGGAAUAUGGGACAAUGGACCGAGAGUCGGAUCCAGCAAUGCUGUGUGCACGAUGAAGUUUGUCGGAAUGUAAAGUGCUUGCAGUUGGGAAGAAACAAAUGACGGUAACAACAGAAGAAGUGACGGAUAAAUACGUG
rnacentral:rRNA from 1 species